rnacentral:rRNA from 1 species
UUCUUAGAGAGACUAUCAACUCAAGUUGAUGGAAGUUUGAGGCAAUAACAGGUCUGUGAUGCCCUUAGAUGUUCUGGGCCGCACGCGCGCUACACUGACAGAGCCAACGAGUUCUUUUCCUUGUUCGAAAGAAUUGGGUAAUCUUGUUAAACUCUGUCGUGCUGGGGAUAAAGCAUUGCAAUUAUUGCUUUUCAACGAGGAAUGCCUAGUAAGCGCGUGUCAUCAGCAUGCGUUGAUUACGUCCCUGACCUUUGUACACACCGCCCGUCGCUACUACCGAUUGAAUGGCUAA